AUUGAACGCUGGCGGCAUGCCUUACACAUGCAAGUCGAACGGCAGCACGGGUGCUUGCACCUGGUGGCGAGUGGCGAACGGGUGAGUAAUACAUCGGAACAUGUCCUUUAGUGGGGGAUAGCCCGGCGAAAGCCGGAUUAAUACCGCAUACGGUCUACGUAUUACAGCGUGGGGCCUUCGGGCCUCGCGCUGUUGGGUUGGCCGAUGCCGGAUUAGCUCGUUGGUGGGGUAAAGGCCUACAAAGGCGACGAUCCGUAGCUGGUCGGAGAGGACGACAAGCCACACUGGGACUGAGACAGGGCCCAGACUCCUACGGGAGGCAGCAGUGGGGAAUUUUGGACAAUGGGCGAAAGCCUGAUCCAGCAAUGCCGCGUGUGUGAAGAAGGCCUUCGGGUUGUAAAGCACUUUUGUCCGGAAAGAAAUCCUUGGCCCUAAUACGGUCGGGGGAUGACGGUACCGGAAGAAUAAGCACCGGCUAACUACGUG
rnacentral:rRNA from 1 species